rnacentral:rRNA from 1 species
AGUCGAACGAACCCUUCGGGGUUAGUGGCGCACGGGUGCGUAACGCGUGGGAACCUGCCUUUAGGUUCGGAAUAACAGUUAGAAAUGACUGCUAAUACCGGAUAAUGUCUUCGGACCAAAGAUUUAUCGCCUUUAGAUGGGCCCGCGUUGGAUUAGAUAGUUGGUGGGGUAAUGGCCUACCAAGUCGACGAUCUAUAGCUGGUCUGAGAGGAUGAUCAGCCACACUGGGACUGAGACACGGCCCAGACUCCUACGGGAGGCAGCAGUGGGGAAUAUUGGACAAUGCGCGAAAGCGUGAUCCAGCAAUGCCGCGUGAGUGAUGAAGGCCUUAGGGUUGUAAAGCUCUUUUACCAGGGAUGAUAAUGACAGUACCUGGAGAAUAAGCUCCGGCUAACUCCGUGCCAGCAGCCGCGGUAAUACGGA